UACAGAGGUGGCAAGCGUUGUUCGGAAUUACUGGGCGUAAAGGGCGCGUAGGCGGCCGCGUAAGUCCUGUGUGAAAGCCCCCGGCUCAACUGGGGAGGGUCAUUCGAUACUGAUCGACUUGAAGGCAGGAGAGGGAAGCGGAAUUCCCGGUGUAGGUGGUGAAAUGCGGUAGAUAUCGGGAGGAACACCCGUGGCGAAGGCGGCUCUCUGGGACGGUACUGGACGCUGAGACGGCGAAAAGCGUGGGGAGCGAACAGG
rnacentral:rRNA from 1 species